GGGGAGAUCCAACAGGACCAAGAAGAAUGAGGCAGCUCGUCAGAUCACGAAAGAAUGCAGUAGCUGUGCAAGGCUAAGACCAGCCCCAAGAGGGCUGCACCCAGCAGGUACCUGGGAAAGGGGGAGGGCUCCAGGGAGGAAUUGGGAAAUAGACUUUACCGAAAUAAAACCAGGGAAGUAUGGAUACAAGUAUUUGCUGGUUAUGGUAGAUACUUUCUCUGGGUGGGUGGAGGCCUUUCCAACCCAGCAUGAGACUAGCCAAGUAGUAGCAAAAAAAUUAAUUGAGGAAAUCAUCCCCAGAUAUGAGGUCCCUGAAGCAAUAGGUUCCGAUAAUGGCCCGGCUUUCGUUAGCAAAAUCCUGCAAG